UACAGAGGGGGCCAGCGUUAUUCGGAAUUAUUGGGCGUAAAGGGCGCGUAGGCGGCUUUGCGUGUCUUUCGUGAAAUCCCUCGGCUCAACUGAGGACGUGCGGAAGAAACUGCAGGGCUGGAGUCCGGGAGAGGAGGGUGGAAUUCCCAGUGUAGCGGUGAAAUGCGUAGAUAUCAGGAGGAACACCGAUGGCGAAGGCAGGUCUCUGGGCCACUACUGACGCUGAGAAGCGAAAGCAUGGGGGAGCGAACAGG
rnacentral:rRNA from 1 species